AAACAAAAUGAUAGAAUUGUUAAAUACUUCAGGAAAAGAUAGCUUUCAGACACUGCUUUGAGAAUAUCAAAAGAAAAGAUAGGGUCACCGUACGUUUUUUCCGGCUAAAAUACAAGAUAGGAAAAUUCCAUACAGAAUCCUUCAGAAAAUGCACUUUUUUAGAGUUACCUCCCCUUAAAAUGCCAAUUUAAAAAAAAAAAUAAAAACAACCAAAAAUAAUUAACAUUUGCAAAAAUAUCAAUAUUUAGAAGUUAUAUUCUUAUAAAU
rnacentral:lncRNA from 1 species